rnacentral:rRNA from 1 species
AGUGAACGCUGGCGGUAGGCCUAACACAUGCAAGUCGAACGGCAGCACAGUAAGAGCUUGCUCUUACGGGUGGCGAGUGGCGGACGGGUGAGGAAUACAUCGGAAUCUACUUUUUCGUGGGGAAUAACGUAGGGAAACUUACGCUAAUACCGCAUACGACCUACGGGUGAAAGCAGGGGAUCUUCGGACCUUGCGCGAUUGAAUGAGCCGAUGUCGGAUUAGCUAGUUGGCGGGGUAAAGGCCCACCAAGGCGACGAUCCGCAGCUGGUCUGAGAGGAUGAGCAGCCACACUGGAACUGAGACACGGUCCAGACUCCUACGGGAGGCAGCAGUGGGGAAUAUUGGACAAUGGGCGCAAGCCUGAUCCAGCCAUACCGCGUGGGUGAAGAAGGCCUUCGGGUUGUAAAGCCCUUUUGUUGGGAAAGAAAAGCAGCAGGUUAAUACCCCGCUGUUCUGACGGUACCCAAAGAAUAAGCACCGGCUAACUUCGUG